CAGUGGCGAACGGGUGAGUAACACGUGAGUAACCUGCCCCAGUACUCUGGGAUAAGCCUUGGAAACGAGGUCUAAUACUGGAUAUGAGAUGCCCCUGCAUGGGGAGUGUCUGGAAAGAUUUAUCGGUCUGGGAUGGACUCGCGGCCUAUCAGCUUGUUGGUGGGGUAAUGGCCUACCAAGGCGACGACGGGUAGCCGGCCUGAGAGGGCGACCGGCCACACUGGGACUGAGACACGGCCCAGACUCCUACGGGAGGCAGCAGUGGGGAAUAUUGCACAAUGGGCGCAAGCCUGAUGCAGCGACGCCGCGUGAGGGAUGAAGGCCUUCGGGUUGUAAACCUCUUUCAGCAGGGAAGAAGCGCAAGUGACGGUACCUGCAGAAGAAGCGCCGGCUAACUACGUGCCAGCAGCCGCGGUAAUACGUAGGGCGCAAGCGUUGUCCGGAAUUAUUGGGCGUAAAGAGCUCGUAGGCGGUUUGUCGCGUCUGGUGUGAAAACUCAAGGCUCAACCUUGAGCUUGCAUCGGGUACGGGCAGACUAGAGUGCGGUAGGGGUGACUGGAAUUCCUGGUGUAGCGGUGGAAUGCGCAGAUAUCAGGAGGAACACCGAUGGCGAAGGCAGGUCACUGGGCCGCAACUGACGC
rnacentral:rRNA from 1 species